UGGUCUGACCCGCCUAUGCUCUUAUAAACGCUUCAGUUAUAGAAUGUUAAUCGCGUAUAACGCAUUAUAUACAACUUUCAGCAACGGAUCUCUUGGCUCUCGCAUCGAUGAAGAACGCAGCGAAAUGCGAUAAGUAAUGUGAAUUGCAGAAUUCAGUGAAUCAUCGAAUCUUUGAACGCACCUUGCGCUCCUUGGUAUUCCGAGGAGCAUGCCUGUUUGAGUGUCAUGGUAUUCUCAAUCCCCUAAAUCUUUGCGGAUUCAGGUGGUAUUGGAUUUGGAGGCCUUGCCGGCGUGUUCAACAUCGGCUCCUCUUAAAUGUAUUAGCAGGAAUGUUACUGCAAUCUCCUCAGCGUGAUAAUUGUCUACGUUGUGGUGAGGCGGUAUAUAUAUGUUCAUGCUUACAAUCGUCCUCGCGGACAAUUCUUUUGACAUCUGACCUCAAAUCAGGUAGGACUACCCGCUGAACUUAAGCAUAUCAAUAAGCGGAGGAAAAGAAACUAACAAGGAUUCCCCUAGUAACUGCGAGUGAAGCGGGAAAAGCUCAAAUUUAAAAUCUGAUAGUCUUUGGCUGUCCGAGUUGUAAUCUGGAGAAGCGUCUUCCGCGC
rnacentral:rRNA from 1 species